ensembl:lncRNA
AAACAGUUGAAAAGAUCGCACUGUACAGUAUUUCUCCUUAUUUUGAUGUAGAGUAUUUGUUUUUAUCUUAGGUCUCACUAAAUCUCCACUUGAGAACUGGAUAACAACGACUGGAUUUGAAGAUGAACCUAAACAGGAACCAAAUCAAACAAAUAGCUAAGUUAUUUAGAUCUUUCUGUGUUUUAAAUAUUUAAUAUUUAACUGAAAAGUUGCCAAAACAGUUCACUUAAGUAACGGGAAAAAUAAUGAUAACACAUAAAGUUUUUUUUUUUUUUUUUUUUAAAUAGGAAUGGAUAGGGGGACUUUUAUAGGGGGAAAAAACAGUGUAUUAAAUGUUACAUUGUCAUACAGUAGAAGAUAUCCUAACAGAAAACGAAUGAGCUCUAGAGGCAGGUCCUGUUUUGUCAUUCCACUGUCUGGUUGUUGCAAGAGGAAACAGUGAAGUAAAAUAAAACUCUGGUGAAUGCCAGAUUAAAAACUCAAGCAGGAAAAGUACAGUAGCAACUGCCUUCAUGUUUCAAGAGGAAACACAGCCAGUCAACUGAGGUAAUAUAAUUCUCUGGUAAAUGCCAGAUUUAAACAAAAAACAGGUGAGUAAUAUUUUAAAGCACCUCUAUUCUCUUUUGUACAACCUAUAGUUUUAUUUGCUACUGUUUAUCUUUAUUUUCUCUUCUCAAAACAAACACGGGUGAGUAAUAUUUUGCAAAGGGUUUUUUUCUGUCUGUUGUUGAACCUGUAGUUUGAAUUGUACUGUGUAUCUUAUUUGCAUUCAGUACAAUAGUGAAGUUCACUGCCUGGAGGUUACAAGAGGAAAUACAACCUUUCAGUCAAGGUAACAUAAACUCUGGUGAAUGCUAGAUUAAAAACACAAUAAAAAUAAAGGAUAUUGAUAUUUUUUGUUGAAGUUGAAGUUCCAGAUCUGCUGGAAGUUUUUUUUUUUGUUUUGUUGUUGUUUGUUUUUUUUUGUUUGUUGUUGUUUGUUUUGUUUUUUUUCAUUUACGUGAUGUUCACUGCUUGGAUGUUGCAAGAGGAAUCAUCUUCUGGGGAAAAAAACAAACAAACAGAUGUAAAAUAUAAAUGUGGUAUGUGACAGAUUAAACACAAAAAAGGGGAAAACAAUCACAGCAGGAAUGGCAACUGCUAGGAUGCUGCAAGAGAAGAUGUCGCCUGUCAAGUGAAGUAAAAUAAACUCUGGUGAAUUCCAGAUUAGAAAUAAAACAGCACAGGGAUGGCAUCAGAAUGUAGUUUUGAAGUGAAUGAUCUGGAGUGAUCUGGGUCAUGCUGGACGCAUUUCUUGUCAGAUCUGUGAGAAGACAGAAGACUGUUUUUGUUUUGUUUUUUUGCGCACACUGGUUCAUUUGACAUCUGAAGUUGGUUCAUUUGAAUGAUGUUGAUGCUGUUUUCUGAGCUCAGGUGCGCAUAUGCAAACUGUUUCUGAAAUAUUUCAGAUCUACCCCUAUUUCAAUUGAAUCGAGUUCAAUGGGAUUGACUGACGAGUUUAUGAAGGUUUUUCAGACUGAAUGAAUCAUCAUUCUGAUUAAUAAUUAGAUUAUUAGGUUGAAUUUAAAUGUAUACAGUGACAAGCCAAAUGCAUGAACCUGAAAUUGAAAUGCCUUAUCUUUAAAAGAAUUUUCAGUGACAGUGUCUGUCUUUCAGAUUCUGUUUACAAACCUCUUUUCAAGAAAUUACACUGUUUAUACAUGUAGGCUACAGUAAAAAUUAUUGGCAGUGCAUUAAGAAAAAAAAACAGAAUUUUUGAAAUCACAUUUGCUUGUCACCUUAUUUCUAAACAUGGUGUUAUGUUUUUGACCAUACAGUUCCAUUUUUAGGUGACCCUUCUUUCCCAAUCUGUACUAAACAUGCCUGUAAAACUGUGCUGAAGCUUUUAGCUGGUAUGUUGGUAUGGUUUUAAUAUUAAAGUCAUGAUUUAAGC